UGGGGAAUAUUGCACAAUGGACGAAAGUCUGAUGCAGCGACACCGCGUGAGGGAUGACAGCCUUAGGGUUGUAAACCUCUUUUAUUAGGGAAUAGCAAGGAAGGUACCUAAUGAAUAAGCUACGGCUAACUACGUGCCAGCAGCCGCGGUAAUACGUAGGUAGCGAACGUUGUCCGGAAUCACUGGGCGUAAAGGGUCCGUAGGCGGUUUAACAAGUCUCAUAUGAAAGCUUCAAGCUCAACUUGGAGAUGUUGUGAGAUACUGUUAGACUUGAGGCUGUUAGAGGCAAGUGGAAUUCCAGGUGUAGUGGUGAAAUGCGUAGAUAUCUGGAGGAACACCAGUGGCGAAAGCGACUUGCUGGAACAGUUCUGACGCUAAGGGACGAAAGCGUGGGGAGCAAACCGG
rnacentral:rRNA from 1 species